AUUGAACGCUGGCGGCAGGCUUAACACAUGCAAGUCGAACGAUGAUUAUCUAGCUUGCUAGAUAUGAUUAGUGGCGGACGGGUGAGUAACAUUUAGGAAUCUGCCUAGUAGUGGGGGAUAGCUCGGGGAAACUCGAAUUAAUACCGCAUACGACCUACGGGUGAAAGGGGGCGCAAGCUCUUGCUAUUAGAUGAGCCUAAAUCAGAUUAGCUAGUUGGUGGGGUAAAGGCCCACCAAGGCGACGAUCUGUAACUGGUCUGAGAGGAUGAUCAGUCACACCGGAACUGAGACACGGUCCGGACUCCUACGGGAGGCAGCAGUGGGGAAUAUUGGACAAUGGGGGCAACCCUGAUCCAGCCAUGCCGCGUGUGUGAAGAAGGCCUUUUGGUUGUAAAGCACUUUAAGCAGGGAGGAGAGGCUAAUGGUUAAUACCCAUUAGAUUAGACGUUACCUGCAGAAUAAGCACCGGCUAACUCUGUGCCAGCAGCCGCGGUAAUACAGAGGGUGCGAGCGUUAAUCGGAAUUACUGGGCGUAAAGCGAGUGUAGGUGGCUCAUUAAGUCACAUGUGAAAUCCCCGGGCUUAACCUGGGAACUGCAUGUGAUACUGGUGGUGCUAGAAUAUGUGAGAGGGAGGUAGAAUUCCAGGUGUAGCGGUGAAAUGCGUAGAGAUCUGGAGGAAUACCGAUGGCGAAGGCAGCUUCCUGGCAUAAUAUUGACACUGAGAUUCGAAAGCGUGGGUAGCAAACAGGAUUAGAUACCCUGGUAGUCCACGCCGUAAACGAUGUCUACUAGCCGUUGGGGUCCUUGAGACUUUAGUGGCGCAGUUAACGCGAUAAGUAGACCGCCUGGGGAGUACGGCCGCAAGGUUAAAACUCAAAUGAAUUGACGGGGGCCCGCACAAGCGGUGGAGCAUGUGGUUUAAUUCGAUGCAACGCGAAGAACCUUACCUGGUCUUGACAUAGUGAGAAUCCUGCAGAGAUGCGGGAGUGCCUUCGGGAAUUCACAUACAGGUGCUGCAUGGCUGUCGUCAGCUCGUGUCGUGAGAUGUUGGGUUAAGUCCCGCAACGAGCGCAACCCUUUUCCUUAUUUGCCAGCGGGUUAAGCCGGGAACUUUAAGGAUACUGCCAGUGACAAACUGAAGGAAGGCGGGGACGACGUCAAGUCAUCAUGGCCCUUACGACCAGGGCUACACACGUGCUACAAUGGUAGGUACAGAGGGUUGCUACACAGCGAUGUGAUGCUAAUCUCAAAAAGCCUAUCGUAGUCCGGAUUGGAGUCUGCAACUCGACUCCAUGAAGUCGGAAUCGCUAGUAAUCGCAGAUCAGAAUGCUGCGGUGAAUACGUUCCCGGGCCU
rnacentral:rRNA from 1 species